rnacentral:tRNA from 1 species
GGUCUCGUAGUGUAGCGGUUAACACGCCUGCCUGUCACGCAGGAGACCGCGGGUUCGAUUCCCGUCGAGACCGCCA